rnacentral:rRNA from 1 species
UGCGCAGGCGGAAUAAUAAGUCAGUGGUGAAAUCUCUCGGCUCAACCGGGAAACUGCCAUUGAUACUGUUAUUCUUGAGUACAGUUGAAGUGGGCGGAAUGUGUCAUGUAGCGGUGAAAUGCUUAGAUAUGACACAGAACACCGAUAGCGAAGGCAGCUCACUAAGCUGUAACUGACGCUCAUGCACGAAAGCGUGGGGAUCAAACAGGAUUAGACACCCUGGUAGUCC